AACUUGAAGCCAAGACAGGAAGCAGGAAAGGGGCUUCCAGGUCACAGCACAAAGAGGCAAAGCAGAAGCAGCAGACAGGACGUCAAAGAACCAGUGCAUGGCUGCGCCGGGCCCCGGGGCUUCCCACACGGGUUACUGUCAUCCUUCCGAAUCACUGGACUUGAAGCCCAGCAUGUUGCUGAGUUUUGCUCCAGAGACAAUUGCCAUUUGUUAUUUAAGUGACAAAGGUAACGCAUGCCGGCGGGAAGCAAUGCACAAAAUGUGAAGUUAUAUGCAGAUUCAGAAGAGAAGGCUUCAGGCAAGUUCCUUCUCCAGCCCCUGCUCCCAUCUCUCUCUUCCCUGUUUCUCUGGCCCUUGCUCUCAUCUCUCUCUGCCCUGCUUGGAGGCAUCCAGCCUUCUUCACCACAGGGAACAUGGAGCUCAAAAGAUAACACACACCUUAAUGCUGUUGACAGCUGCCCCAGUGGCAAAGGGACAUGUUUUCAUCACCUACACCUUGUUUGGCCAGUUAGAGGGCUGUGUUUCUCAGAGUCAGGAAGUCCUGGGCCAGGUGGAGGAAAGAAAUGGCGCAGCCACCUCUGGCCUCCUCCUGCUCCUCCUGGAUCUGGGAGAUGGCGCCCAGCCAAGCCCUCCAUGCCCUGCCCGUGAGUGGGAUGUCUGACUGCUCUCACCGUCUCUCCUUCUCCCCUUAACCCCAGGCCCAACCCCUCCGGGCUCACUGCUUGUGGUUUUUCUGCUUAGGAAUUGGUCCCUGGGUGUAGCCCAGGCUUGUAGGGCCCCGUCCUCCCCAGCCCUGCUCCCCACUGUUCAGGGGCAGCCCCCCCACUCCUCCCACCUGCCGUGGCUCUUUGCUGCACCCUCCCUGGCCCAGUCUUGGCAUUCGCCCUUAUCAGUUCUCCGUCUUCUUUGAAGCUGAGACAGAGUAUUGUCCCCCACUUGCUUGCAGAUGCUAAGAUGGAGUUUAGAGCACAGGAUAUUGAUCAGGGACCCAUGCCUGGGAAAGGGGCAGAGAGAGAAGCCCAGCAAGAUGCACCCUGGCCCAGCCUCGGCACCCCCAGGGAGCCCUGGGCUGUGGGGCCUGUUAGAGUUGCUGCAGGUGGGCGGGAAGGGCUGGGCAUUCAUACCCCCCACAGCUGGUCCCGGGUAAGGUGACCAUCUGCAGCUGAGGCAGCCUGAAGGAGGGACAGCUGGAGGUAUCUGAGGCUGCUCUCCCAAUGCUGGAGGGCAGGGCCUUCCCUGGAGGGAUCCGAAGGGGCAUUUCCAUGCCCAGCUCAUACAGGAAGCUUAUUGGAGCCUCACAUCUGGAAAGCACUACAGACCGCACCGCAGACCGCACGACAGACCGCACCGCAGACCGCUCUACAGACCGGCACAUGCGCAACCCUGCCCGGCUGCUCUCCCUCCCUGCCUGGCUGCUCUCCCUCCCUGCCCAGCUGCUUUCUCUCCCUGCUGUGACCAGGCCAUUUUGGUGCAUUAUCUGUGCUCAGCGCUUUCCUCCUCUAUUUGAUGACUUUUCCAGGCAGUGGGCCUGGGGGUGAAGUCCCCUUGACCUUUGGGCUCCACCCAGGCACCUGGAGCCCCUGGGCUCUUCCCCUGCAGGGAACUGUUAGCAUCCUGCACUUUGCCCUCCUCCCAUCCUGCCCACGGGAGAUGCAGCGUGAACUCCUAGUCCUCAAAAAGGCUUAA
rnacentral:lncRNA from 1 species